UAGGGAAUCUUCCACAAUGGACGCAAGUCUGAUGGAGCAACGCCGCGUGAGUGAAGAAGGUCUUCGGAUCGUAAAGCUCUGUUGUUGGUGAAGAAGGAUAGAGGCAGUAACUGGUCUUUAUUUGACGGUAAUCAACCAGAAAGUCACGGCUAACUACGUGCCGGCAGCCGCGGUAAUACGUAGGUGGCAAGCGUUGUCCGGAUUUAUUGGGCGUAAAGCGAGCGCAGGCGGAAUGAUAAGUCUGAUGUGAAAGCCCACGGCUCAACCGUGGAACUGCAUCGGAAACUGUCAUUCUUGAGUGCAGAAGAGGAGAGUGGAACUCCAUGUGUAGCGGUGGAAUGCGUAGAUAUAUGGAAGAACACCAGUGGCGAAGGCGGCUCUCUGGUCUGCAACUGACGCUGAGGCUCGAAAGCAUGGGUAGCGAACAGGAUUAGAUACCCUGGUAGUCCAUGCCGUAAACGAUGAGCGCUAGGUGUUGGGGACUUUCCGGUCCUCAG
rnacentral:rRNA from 1 species